rfam:Ailuropoda melanoleuca scaffold2693_8, whole genome shotgun sequence.
CAAAAGGCUCUUUUCAGAGCCACUACUACAGUCAUAAAAAGGUGA